rnacentral:rRNA from 1 species
AUUGAACGCUGGCGGCAGGCCUAACACAUGCAAGUCGAGCGGAGCGGCGGACGGGUGAGUAAUGCCUAGGUAUCUGCCCGGUAGUGGGGGAUAACGUCAGGAAACGGGCGCUAAUACCGCAUCCUAUCAGAUGAGCCUAGGUCGGAUUCGCUAGGUGGGGGGGUAAAGGCCUACCAAGGCGACGAUCCGUAACUGGUCUGAGAGGAUGAUCAGGCAAACUGGAACUGAGACACGGGCCAGACUCCUACGGGAGGCAGCAGUGGGGAAUAUUGGACAAUGGGCGAAAGCCUGAUGCAGCCAUGCCGCGUGUGUGAAGAAGGUCUUCGGAUUGUAAAGCACUUUAAGUUGGGAGGCGUUACCAACAGAAUAAGCACCGGCUAACUUCGUGCCAGCAGCCGCGGUAAUUC